CCACUUGAUGCACCAAUUUACCCACCCAAAGUAGAACAAAUAUCAAUGUUUUUAUUUUUAUUUUUUUGGAACAUUGGCCCCUCCCUCCUACACUCCCCAACCGAACCAGCCACCGUCUAUGGCGACCUCUUUUAAUCCACCAAUCGCCUUUCGCUUCCUCAAACCGCCACUUUCCUCUUUUCCUUCACAAUCAUCCUCACUUUCCCAUUGUCUCCCUCAAUCGCAUUACACCUUCAAAUUCCCAACCACUUGCUGCCGUUACUCAUCUCUUGAAGUCAAAGAUGUUAGUUAUCAACCUCCAGGGACUCAGCCUAAUCUUCUCAAUUCAGUUAGUUUUUCUCUUCCAGAGAAAAGUUUUGGUCUAAUUUUUGGACAGAGUGGAAGCGGAAAAACAACACUUUUGCAGCUUCUUGCAGGAAUAAGCAAACCAACAUCUGGAUCUAUUUACAUCCAAAAAUAUGGAGAUGAUGGAAAUCCUAGUCAAUCUCCGGAGCCCUUGGUGCCAGAAAGGGUUGGUAUUGUCUUCCAGUUUCCAGAGAGGUAUUUUGUUGCUGAUACUGUACUUGAUGAAGUCACUUUUGGGUGGCCAAGGCAAAAGGGUAAUGAUCAAGUAAGGGAGAAACUUGCUCUAGGGCUUCAGAGGGCAAUUAACUGGGUUGGAUUAAGUGGGAUAUCAUUGGAUACGAAUCCUCACUCCCUCAGCGGUGGUUACAAACGUCGCCUUGCCUUGGCAAUACAGUUAGUGCAAGUCCCUGAUUUAUUAAUAUUGGAUGAGCCUCUUGCUGGACUUGAUUGGAAAGCACGUGCGGAUGUCGUGAAGCUUUUAAAGCAUCUAAAAAAAGAAUUAACUGUGCUAGUUGUCAGCCAUGACUUGAGAGAGUUUGCGAGUCUAGUUGAUCAAUCAUGGAGGAUGGAAAUGGGUGGCAAUCUUAGACAGGAGUUUCUACCAUUAUAAUUUAUAUUUAUUGCCUUGAUAACCAAGAUGGAAUGCUAAGAGGGUUUGAGUAUUUACAAUAUUGUAUAUGGGCAAUAUGAAAGAGAGCGGGUGUAAGGAGUUUUGCUUGAAAACGACUUUAGUCCUGGAUCAUAGGAGCCUGUAUUUAAUGCUGAAAGUGUUAAAAAUGUUCUUUACAAGUGACAAACUUAAUACUCAAUGAAGUCAUAUACUGACUAGAGCAGUUGCUGAAAAAUUCAGCAUUUAAGAAUCUCUGAGAUGAUACCCAAAUUCAGCAUUCCACCCGUUUAUAGCCGAUAGAGUGUCAGUUCCUGUUGCUGAAAGAUCCACAUCAUGACAAAAAAGUGAUGAGCUAUUAUGUUUGCAUGGAGCCGGAGAAAAACUGUUGCAAAUCACAGACUUGAACAUUACUAAACAUUUCUCAUUUGUAAAACAUACAUCAUGGACAUAUCAUAGUUGGAUGUUCUUAAUUCUUUUUAUGGAUUUUAUUAUGCCACAUAAGUUUUAGGAACUUCAACAGCAAUGUAACUCUUAGAACUUAAAAUAGGUUCCCACAAGUUACCCUACAUCUGUCUUGAGCUCCCUUCAAUAGUAAUACUUGUUACAAAUAGGUUAUUCUAUGGAGGAUGUUCAUUUUAGUACUUACUUAAUUUGUUGGAACAGUGACAUAAUUAUUGCAGCCUGGUACUAUAAAGAUAAUGGAUUAGUUGGAUUCCUUUUAAA